UGGUGUUUUUUCUUUCGAUUCAUGGAUGUAGCUGUAGUUCAUUUUUAUACAGUAAUAUAUGAUUAUAUCACCUUUACUAUGUUGAAUCUUUGAGUUGUGGAGAUAAAAACCACUCAGAAGUGAGGACAGGCUGUUUUCUUCAGGGCGUGUUAUAGCGAGGGAGUCAGCCACGACUACUUGUGUUUUGCAGAGACACAGGCCGAAAGAAGUUUGUAAAUGGGAAAGCUUUACGGUGAAAACACAAAGCUUCAGGCAUGCUCUGUUUGGAAGCCAUUGGCAUGAGGAAACUGGAGCCUGGCCAACUAGCAGCAGGCAUCUUAUGUGAUUGUUUUGGGGAACAUAUUUGGCUUACUCGGAUUGGUCCUUAGUUUGGACAAAAUAUCAGGAUGUUGGCAGUCAUCGACCAAGUCCUGACUGUUCUGGGUGGAUUGCUACAGACGUUUCAUUUGGCAACCUAAACUGGUUGCUGCAGAGUUUGUGGGUCAGGGUUUGUUGUCAUAUAAGGUCUGUAAGGUCAUAUGAGGUACAUUUUUAUAUUCAGUCUCAGAAUUGCUUCAGUUUAUUGCCACAAGGCUUUUCCAAUUUACAUGAAGUCUAAUAUUAGGAAUAAUAUUGAUUCCUAAAUUAACUGAAUAGUUAGGCAUGAUAUUGUAACUCUUAGGAAACCAUGUUAAAGAACCCAAAUAUAUAGCCAACAUAAAAUGGAAUAUUAAAAACUAUUCAAAUAACCCAAAAGAAAAUGAAAGGUGAUGGGGGGGGGGGGGAGGGCAGGAAGCAAAAACAAAACCACAGGGGCAAACAAAAAUAUGGCACACUGGAAUCCAACCAUGUCAAUAAUUAUAUUAAAUAUCAAUGGUCUAAGCCAGGGGUUGGCAAGUUUUCUCUCUAGAGGGCCAGAUAAAACAGUUUAGGCUUUGUGGGCCAAACAGUGUGUCAAGUCUUCUUGGAGUUAGCCAUACACAUAAAUACUGAGUAGGUGUGGCUGUGUUCCAAUAAAACUAUAUUUACAAAAACAACCGGCAGCGAGAUUUAACUUGCAGGCUUUAGUUUGCUGACCUUUGCUUUUGAGUUCUAGAUUUUAUUUUCUUUAAAAUAUAUUGGACUUUGUUCGGUGAGCAGUUACUUCUGAAGCUGGGAAUGUCUUAAUUCUCUUUUUUUUUUUUUUCUUCCAGGUUUGGAAGUUUCCAAAUUUAGAACCACUUUUAAAGUAAGCUAACAAAAUGGGGUUUCUAAAGACCAGCCUGAUAAGGAGAAUUUGGGGCACAAAUCCACAGGACAGCAGACUGUGGUGACAGAAUUAAGCCAAGAAACUGGACCAUCCCAGGAAGGGCAGACACCAGCUGAUGUUGGCUUGCGCGAUGCCAGAGUCAUCGUGAGCAAGCUGGACGAGGGUACCAGCUGGAAAAUAGAUGCCUCGAGACGACAUGCUCACUUUUCCUGGCUCCUUGUUGCCACAAGAUGGCAGCCCUAAUUCUUUUUUAGAUUUUCUUAAGGAGGUUUUUUCAUAUUACUGGGGAACGGAACGCAGGAGCGGCCUCAUACCUGGUGGCCUUUUCCUCCUACGAGUUGCAGAGAACACGCCCCUCUUUCUAAAUGUGACCGUGGCUUUGGAACUUCCAAAAUCCACGGACAGAAUUGAAAAGAACACGUAAGCGCGUGUAUGUUAGGAUCCUGCCGCCUCCCUCAGACCUCGUCAUCCGAAACACGAACAUCUGAAGGAUGUUAGCUUUCCCACCGGUUGUUCCCGUUUCUGUCCUUCUGCUGCGUUUCCCAGGUUAUUCAAGGGAAAACCCCACAGGAUUUAGAGCCCUGAGAUCCAGGGUUAGAUUCUGGAAGUCCUUCACAAAUGCUGUCACCUCCCUGAGCUCCAGUGUCCUCUUGGUUUCAAGGAUAAUGAUGCUAUUCUACCUCCAAGGUAAGCAGAAUAAUGGCCUUUCAAAGGUGUCCACAUCCUAAUCUCCAGGACCCGUGAGAAUAUUAUGUUAUUUCAUCAAGAAGAAGGAAAGUUGCAGAUGGAAUGAAUGGUCGACCUUAAAAUGGGGAGAUUAUCCUGGAUUUUCUAGAUGGGCUGAAUCACAAGAGUCCUUCAGAGAGGAAGUCGGAGGAUGUUACUACAAAAGGAAGCACAGACAGAUGCAAUGCAGCUGGUUGUGAAGAUGGAAAAGGGGGCAUGAGGAAAGGAAUGUGACAGACUCUGGAUGAUGGAAAAUGCAAGGAAAUGGACUGAUUCUCCCCCAGAGCCUCCAGAAAGGAACACAGCUCUGCCAACACCUUGAUGUUAGCCCAGGGAGACCUGGGUUUAACUUCUAGCCCACAGAGCCCUAAGAUAAUAAAGUUGUGUUGUUUUAAGCCACUAGGUUUGGGGUAGUUUGUUACAGCAGCCACAGGAAACGAAUAGGCUCUCCUACAGGAUUGCUACGAACACUGAAUCAAUAAUGUCUAUAGGAGCUCUCUGCCGUGAAAGUGUGAGGGAUUGCUACUCCAUGCACCAAAGGCUCCCGCUCUGUGCAUAGAGUCUAGUAGGGCGCGGGGCAUAACAGGUGACCACACAGCAGGACGGAGAGCCCCCGGGGGAGGUGGGUGCUCCUUCGCCACGCUUCCACACCAAUCUGAGCAUUCUUCUAUCAUGGCAUUUGCUCAUCACCCUGAGUUACAAUUAGCCGUGAUAUGUUUGUUGUUCAAGUCUGUUUCUCCAGACCCCAGCACAGUGCUGGCUGUUGUUAACACUCAGUGGAUCUUAAAUGAAUGCAUAGGAAUCACAGUGACACAGGGCUUAGGGCAAUCCACCAAAUUCGAUUUUCAUGUCACUGCUCUCAUUUCCCUUUUGUGGCGCAUCAUUUUCCAAGGUGCAUUCCACAGAACACUAAUGAUUCACUGAGAUCCCCUUGGGAAAAGGGUCAUUAAUUUUUUUUAAAUUUUUUAAAUGUCUAUUUAUUUAUUUUUUAAAGAGAGUGAGCAGGGGAGGGGCAGAGAGAGAGAGAAUCCCAAGAAGGCUCCAUGCUGUCAGCACAGAGCCUGAUGUGGGACUCGAUCUCACAAGCCGUGAGAUCAUGACCUGAGCCAAAAUCAAGAGUCGGAGGCUUAACCCCUUAACCGACUGAGUCACCCAGGCACCCUGGAAAAAGGGUCAUUUAUUCAAAUAAGGGGGGAAAGCAGCCCAUA